rnacentral:rRNA from 1 species
ACUCAAAGGAAUUGACGGGGACCCGCACAAGCAGUGGAGUAUGUGGUUUAAUUCGAAGCAACGCGAAGAACCUUACCAAGUCUUGACAUCCCUCUGAAUCCUCUAGAGAUAGAGGCGACCCUUCGGGGACAGAGGUGACAGGUGGUGCAUGGUUGUCGUCAGCUCGUGUCGUGAGAUGUUGGGUUAAGUCCCGCAACGAGCGCAACCCUUGAUCUUAGUUGCCAGCAUUCAGUUGGGCACUCUAGGAUGACUGCCGGUGACAAACCGGAGGAAGGCGGGGAUGACGUCAAAUCAUCAUGCCCCUUAUGACUUGGGCUACACACGUACUACAAUGGUUGGUACAGAGGGCAGCAAUACCGCGAGGUGGAGCGAAUCUCACAAAACCAAUCUCAGUUCGGAUUGCAGGCUGCAACUCGCCUGCAUGAAGUCGGAAUUGCUAGUAAUCGCGGAUCAGCAUGCCGCGGUGAAUACGUUCCCGGGUCUUGUACACACCGCCCGU